ACAGCGCGUGCACGGCCGUUACCUUUUUGGCGGGAAAACUUCACCUCUCUCACUCCUCGCGCAUGCGCACACACGACCACAGCGCGUGCACGUGUGCCGAGUCGCCUGCAAGGUGGUGCACCUAGCCUGGCACUGAUAGUUGUGACGUCACGGCCACUCUGAGGCUAACCCGGUCAGCACACAAUCAUUGCACUUGAGGCGGCGUUACUGGCAGGCAGUGGAGGGCUCGCGGGGCGCGGUUUCGUGCGCACGCGCAGUCGCCUGCAGCCUCGCGCGGACGUCACGUGGCCCAGGUGAGCGCGGCUGACAAUGUCCAGCUCGGAGGAGGUGCUGCUGCUGGUGUCACACGUGCGGUACAGAAAGCAGGACGGGAGCCUCUACCUCAUGGCGGGGCGCCUGGCUUGGGGAGCCCGCGGCACCCACCGCUUCACCGCCAGCAUCGACUACGCAGACAU